rnacentral:rRNA from 1 species
AGACGAAGGUGGCUAGCGUUGUUCGGUAUCACUGGGCUUAAAGCGUGUGUAGGCGGAAUGGUAAGCGUCUUGUGAAAGCCCCCGGCUUAACCGGGGAAUUGCGAGGCGAACUGCUUUUCUUGAGGCAAGUAGGGGUGCAUGGAACUCUUGGUGGAGCGGUGGAAUGCGUAGAUAUCAAGAGGAACGCCGGUGGUGAAGACGGUGCACUGGGCUUGUCCUGACGCUGAGACACGAAAGCGUGGGGAGCGAACGGGAUUAGAUACCCCGGUAGUCCACGCUGUAAACGAUGCCUACUAGGUCGUGGUGGUUCUGACACCAGCACGGCCGAAGCAAAAGUGUUAAGUAGGCCGCCUGGGGAGUACGGUCGCAAGGCUAAA